GCGUUGUCCGGAGUUACUGGGCGUAAAGCGCGCGCAGGUGGUCCAUUAAGCCCGGCGUGAAAGCCCCCGGCUCAACCGGGGAGGGUCGUCGGGGACUGGUGGACUUGAGGGCGGCAGGGGCUGGUGGAAUCCCCGGUGUAGUGGUGAAAUGCGUAGAGAUCGGGGGGAACACCCGUGGCGAAGGCGGCCAGCUGGGCCGACCCUGACACUGAGGCGCGAAGGCGUG
rnacentral:rRNA from 1 species